rnacentral:rRNA from 1 species
CGACGUGAGGAACCUGCCUCAAAGAGGGGGACAACAGUUGGAAACGACUGCUAAUACCGCAUAAGCCCACGGCUCGGCAUCGAGCAGAGGGAAAAGGAGCAAUCCGCUUUGAGAUGGCCUCGCGUCCGAUUAGCUAGUUGGUGAGGUAAUGGCCCACCAAGGCGACGAUCGGUAGCUGGUCUGAGAGGACGACCAGCCACACUGGGACUGAGACACGGCCCAG